rnacentral:siRNA from 1 species
UCGAAAUUGUCGGAAAGGGA